UUUCUAAACGACCCCCGGCAACGGAAAUCCCCGCCCCCCCAACCAUUAAAAACCUUACCAAAUUCCAAACCUUUUUUUAAUUUCAAAAACCCCUUAACCCACCAAUCUUUUAACCCAAAUUUCCCCCCAAACCAUUAAGCCCAAGGCCCCCCUUCCUGGGCCCCCCCCC
rnacentral:rRNA from 1 species